GAUGAACGCUAGCGGCAGGCCUAAUACAUGCAAGUCGAACGAGAUUAAGAGGCUUGCUUCUUAUGAAAGUGGCGCACGGGUGCGUAACGCGUAUGCAACCUACCUUUAUCAGGGGGAUAGCCCGAAGAAAUUCGGAUUAAGACCGCAUAAAAACACAGGAUAGCAUUAUCCAAUGUUCAAAUAUUUAUAGGAUUAAGAUGGGCAUGCGUGUCAUUAGCUAGUUGGCGGGGUAACGGCCCACCAAGGCGACGAUGACUAGGGGAUCUGAGAGGAUGACCCCCCACACUGGUACUGAGACACGGACCAGACUCCUACGGGAGGCAGCAGUAAGGAAUAUUGGUCAAUGGAGGGAACUCUGAACCAGCCAUGCCGCGUGCAGGAAGACAGCCCUCUGGGUCGUAAACUGCUUUUAGUCGGGAAUAAACCUUUCUACGUGUAGGAAGCUGAAUGUACCGAAGGAAUAAGGAUCGGCUAACUCCGUG
rnacentral:rRNA from 1 species